AGUAUAUCGACGAGUAUCCGGCUUUCGGGUAUAAAAGAAGAGCAUGAAAUUCCACGAAAACAAACUUAACGAAUCAUUCAUUAGCGAUGCUACAAAACAAUAUACUGUUGGAGUUUGCCGCUCGGUAACAAGAAAAUGGCAUUCAUAACAACGACCCAUUCCAACCGUAAUGGGCCAUACUGAGUUUUUCUGUGGUUACUCAAAAUCGU